rnacentral:rRNA from 1 species
GAGUUUGAUCCUGGCUCAGGAUGAACGCUAGCGGCAGGCCUAACACAUGCAAGUCGAGGGGUAACAUGAGUACUUGUACUUGAUGACGACCGGCGCACGGGUGCGUAACGCGUAUGCAACCUACCCAUUACAGGAGGAUAGCCCGGGGAAACUCGGAUUAAUACUCCAUAGUACGAUUUGAUGGCAUCUGAAGAUCGUUAAAGAUUUAUUGGUAAUGGAUGGGCAUGCGUCUGAUUAGCUGGUUGGUGAGGUAAUGGCUCACCAAGGCUACGAUCAGUAGCGGGUCUGAGAGGAUGAUCCGCCACACUGGAACUGAGACACGGUCCAGACUCCUACGGGAGGCAGCAGUGAGGAAUAUUGGUCAAUGGGGGAGACCCUGAACCAGCCAUGCCGCGUGCAGGAUGACGGCCUUCUGGGUUGUAAACUGCUUUUAUACAGGAACAAAGAUCUCAUGCGUGAGAAGUUGAGUGUACUGUAUGAAUAAGCACCGGCUAACUCCGUGCCAGCAGCCGCGGUAAUACGGAGGGUGCAAGCGUUGUCCGGAUUUAUUGGGUUUAAAGGGUGCGUAGCGGUAUGUUAAG